AUGAGGCUCUGUUCGUGGGCUGCUCUGGGACUCCUAAUGCUCUGGAUCACUGGGUCCAGUGGCGAUAUUAUAAUGACUCAGACUCCACUCUCCCUGCCUGUCACUCUGGAAGAGAAGGUCUCCCUCUCCUGCAGGUCUAGUGAGAACCUGACAGAUAGUGAUGGAGAUAGUGCUCUAUCUUGGUACUUGCAAAAGCCUGGCCAGUCUCCCAAACUCCUAAUCUAUUGGGCUUCCGACCUAGCAUCUGGAGUCCCAGACAGAUUCAGUGGCAGUGGGUCAGGCACAGAUUUCACACUGCAAAUCAGCAGGGUGGAGGCUGAGGAUAUUGGGGUUUAUUACUGCAUUCAAGGUACAGAUACUCCUCCCACAGUGAUACAGUCCCUAACAAAAUCAUCUCUGUAG